rnacentral:sRNA from 1 species
CCACGAUGUGUCUAUUCUUGUUUGUUGU